CCUACGGGGGGCUGCAGUGAGGAAUAUUGGUCAAUGGGCUUACGCCUGAACCAGCCAAGUCGCGUGAGGGAAGACUGCCCUAUGGGUUGUAAACCUCUUUUGUCAGGGAGCAACGCCGGCUACGUGUAGCCGGCCUGAGAGUACCUGAAGAAAAAGCAUCGGCUAACUCCGUGCCAGCAGCCGCGGUAAUACGGAGGAUCCGAGCGUUAUCCGGAUUUAUUGGGUUUAAAGGGUGCGUAGGCGGCCUUUUAAGUCAGCGGUGAAAGUCUGUGGCUCAACCAUAGAAUUGCCGUUGAAACUGGGAGGCUUGAGUAUGUUUGAGGCAGGCGGAAUGCGUGGUGUAGCGGUGAAAUGCUUAGAUAUCACGCAGAACCCCGAUUGCGAAGGCAGCCUGCCAAGCCAUGACUGACGCUGAUGCACGAAAGCGUGGGGAUCAAACAGGAUUAGAUACCCUUGUAGUC
rnacentral:rRNA from 1 species